UAUAAGGGAUUUUGAGUUUUUGUUUGUACCGUUUGACCACUCGUCUUAUUUAAAAAAAUUGGAAUUAUUAUUUUUUUUGUGACUUACUUUAUUAUCCAAAGUACUUUAAGCACAAUUUUUUAUUUUUUAUAUUUGCACAAAUUUUUUAAAUAAGACGAGUGGUCAAACAGUGUAAUCAAAAACUCAAAAUCCCUUAUA
rnacentral:pre_miRNA from 1 species